UAGCCUUCACCUGCAUUUGCACCUACACCUUCAUCUUUGAUUUCUUCUAAACAAGGCCAUUGAGGUGCAGGUGCUUCUGCAAGUGAAUGCCAUCUUG